GCAUAUUCAGCAGCUAAGAGGGAAGCCGGUGAGAAACCGGCACGGACCCGCCACUGUAAUUCGGAGGUUUUCGUCUAUGCCGCAGGGCAGCCACUGAGAAAUCGGGAAGGUCGGCGAAUACGUUAAACGAUAAGUCAGGAGACCUGCAUGAGAAGAUU
rnacentral:ncRNA from 1 species